ensembl:lncRNA
GGAGGGAAUUGGGGGUGGGUGCCAUGCUGCACCAGGGGCAGCUCCCAGUGGAGCUCCCCAUCUCCAAAUCCAUCCCAUCAUUCCCCGUCUCCAUCCUUCUCCCAUCUCCUCUCCAUCCCACCUGGUCCCAUCUCCAUCCCAUCUACAUCCUUUUCCCUUCCGGUCCCAGUCCCACCUCCCCAUCUCCAAACCCAUCCCAUCCAUCCCCAUCUCCAUCCUUCUCCCAUCCCAUCUCCAUCCCACCUGGUCCUGUCUCAUCCCAUCCCCGUCUCCAUCCCAUCUCCAUCUCAUCCCAUCCCAUCCUCCACCCACCUGAGUCUCCCUCCUUCCUGUUCCCAGCCCCAUUUCCCCCCCAUCUCCAAAUCCAUCCCAUCCAUCCCCAUCUCCAUCUCCCAUUUCUGUCUCCAUCCCAUCUGGUCCCAUCCCCAUCCCAUCGAUAUGUCCUUCCCUUCUGGACCCAGUCCCACCUCCCCAUCUCCAAACCCAUCCCCUCCAUCCCCAUCUCCAUCCCACCUCCAUCUCACCCGACCCCAUCCUCCACCCACCUGAAUCUCCCUCCUUCCUGGUCCCAACCCCAUUUCCCCCCCCAUCUCCAAAUCCACCCCAUCCAUCCCCAUUUCCAUCCUUCUCCCAUCCCAUCCCCACCCCUCCCCGUCUUUCCUUCCUUUCUGCUCCCGGUUCCACCUCCCCAUUUCCCAAUCCAUCCUUCCCAUUCCCACCUCCAUCCUUCUCCCCUUCCUAUCUCCGCCCCAUCCGUCCCCACACCUCCAUCCCAUCCCCACCCCACCCCACUCGGCCCCACCUCCAUCCCAGUUCCCCCCUGCCCCCCAGCCCCCUCACCGCAGCCUCUGGAUGUUGGAGGAGACCCCCGACAGCCGGUAGAUGCCAUCCACCACCCCGUGCUGCUCCACGAACUCAGUGCAGCUCCGCAGGACCUGCGGCACUGCGGGACGGGCACCGCUGGCACCGCGCCCCCACGGAGCCCCCAGCCCCAAAUCCACCCUCCCAAGCCCCAAAUCUGCCCCCCCCCCAGCCCCAAA